UUUUGAAAACAUCUCUUUAUGAUUAUAAUUUUAAGUUGUCUCUGCCCAAUGAUUUAAAGUUUAAUGGCUGCAGUAUUUUAACUGUACAAAGGUAGCAUAAUAAAUUGUUUCUUAAUUGGAAACUGGAAUGAAUGAGUUGAUAAAAUAUAAGCUUUAUUAAAAUAAUAAAUUGAAUUUAUAUUUUAAGUUAAAAUUCUUAAAUGAAUUUAAGGGACGAGAAGACCCUAUAGAAUUUUAUAUUUUUUUUUAAUUUUUAUUUUUUAAAAAAAGAAUUAAAUUAAUAUUUUUUUGGGAGGAAAUUUAAAUUUUUAAACUUUAAAAUUUUAUUGACAUCUAUAAAUGGAAAUUUUUUAGAUUUUAAAUUAUUAAUUUUUAAAUUAAAUUACCUUAGGGAUAACAGCGUAAUAUUUUUUGAAAGUUCUUAUAGAAAAAAAUGAUUGCGACCUCUUGGG
rnacentral:rRNA from 1 species